rnacentral:RNase_P_RNA from 2 species
CAUUGCUGUCGGAUGGUCGCCUUGCUCGCUAUGUCGAUAUUUCGAAAUUUCGAGCGGGGAGGAAAGUCCGGACGCCCUGUUAUUGAAAACAAUAACAGAAGUGGGUGGCGGAUAACGCCCGCCGUCCGCCCUGAAUUUAUUGAAGGGCGAGAUAGGGAAAGUGCCACAGAGACAAUACAGCCCAACUUGGGGGUAAUCUCCCAAGAGGCGAUAGGUGAAAAGUAGAGAGCUAAACUCCUCUUCUCUGAUAUGGCAACAUAUCAGAGCGGUAAACCCCGCCCGGCGCAAGGCCGAGCUGCCAGCGUUUCGCGCUGGCAGAGUGCCGCUUGAGCCGGUUGAAUAAUCGCCGGCCUAGAUAAAUGACCAUCGCCAGUUUGGUACAGAAUCCGGCUUAUAGACAGCAAUAAGAA